rnacentral:rRNA from 1 species
GGAUUGCCUCAGUAACGGCGAGUGAAGCGGCAACAGCUCAAAUUUGAAAUCUGUCCCCCCUCUGGGGGUCCGAGUUGUAAUUUGUAGAGGAUGCUUCGGGCAAGGCCGCGGUCUAACUCGCUUGGAACAGCGGGUCACAGAGGGUGAGAAUCCCGUCCAGGGCCGUGGGUCGCGCCCGUGUGAAGCUCCUUCGACGAGUCGAGUUGUUUGGGAAUGCAGCUCUAAAUGGGUGGUAAAUUUCAUCUAAAGCUAAAUACUGGCCAGAGACCGAUAGCGCACAAGUAGAGUGAUCGAAAGAUGAAAAGCACUUUGAAAAGAGAGUUAAACAGUAUGUGAAAUUGUUGAAAGGGAAGCGCUUGCAAUCAGACUUGCGCGUGACGGUUCCCCCGGCCUCUUCUGGCCGGGCUACUCCGUCAUGUCCAGGCCAACAUCGGUCCGGGUGGUCGGUGAAAGACCCCGGGAAUGUAUCUACCUUCGGGUCGACUUACAGCCCGGGGUGCAAUGCGGCCCACCCGGACCGAGGAACGCGCUCCGGCUCGGAUGUUGGCGUAAUGGUUGCAAGCGGCCCGUCUUGAAACACGGACCAAGGAGUCUAACAUCUAUGCGAGUGUUUGGGCGUCAAAACCCCUACGCGUAAUGAAAGUGAACGGAGGUAAGAACCCCGUCAUACGGGUGCAUUAUCGACCGAUCCUGAUGUCUUCGGAUGGAUUUGAGUAAGAGCAUAGCUGUUGGGACCCGAAAGGUUAGUUCUUCCCUCUUGUUUUUUAGCGAUGUACUUUUAACUAACAUUUCAUCUCUACAGAUGGUGAACUAUGCCUGAAUAGGGUGAAGCCAGAGGAAACUCUGGUGGAGGCUCGCAGCGGUUCUGACGUGCAAAUCGAUCGUCAAAUUUGGGCAUAGGGGCGAAAGACUAAUCGAACCAUUAGAGGGCACCGGGGGCGCGUGCGGCCGGGUGGUUCUGUGACAGUCCUUCGGGGCUACAUCGUCCUUCUGGCGGGGAUCGGAACCCGCAGCAGUUUCGGCUGUCCACAGACUAGGAGACGGUGGUCGCCCCCAUUCCCGGGGGCGAUGAUGAUAUAGUCGGUUCGGUUGUGGUCUCAACCGGGGUGAACGCUGGUAGCUGGUUCCUGCCGAAGUUUCCCUCAGGAUAGCAGUAACGUUUUCAGUUUUAUGAGGUAAAGCGAAUGAUUAGAGGCCUUGGGGUUGAAACAACCUUAACCUAUUCUCAAACUUUAAAUAUGUAAGAAGUCCUUGUUGCUUCGUUGAACGUGGACAUUUGAAUGCACCGUUACUAGUGGGCCAUUUUUGGUAAGCAGAACUGGCGAUGCGGGAUGAACCGAACGUGAGGUUAAGGUGCCGGAAUGCACGCUCAUCAGACACCACAAAAGGUGUCAAUGCAUCCAGACAGCCGGACGGUGGCCAUGGAAGUCGGAAUCCGCUUAGGAGUGUGUAACAACUCACCGGCCGAAUGCAUUGGCCCUGAAAAUGGAUGGCGCUUAAGCGUGCUACCUAUACCUCGCCGUUAGGGUUGAAAUGAUGCCCUAACGAGUAGGCAGGCGUGGGGGUUUGUGACGAAGCCUCGGGGGUGACCCUGGGUCGAACAACCCCUAGUG